rnacentral:rRNA from 1 species
CCUACGGGGGGCAGCAGUGAGGAAUAUUGGUCAAUGGACGAGAGUCUGAACCAGCCAAGUAGCGUGAAGGAUGACUGCCCUAUGGGUUGUAAACUUCUUUUAUAUGGGAAUAAAAUGUUCCACGUGUGGGAUUUUGUAUGUACCAUAUGAAUAAGGAUCGGCUAACUCCGUGCCAGCAGCCGCGGUAAUACGGCGGAUCCGAGCGUUAUCCGGAUUUAUUGGGUUUAAAGGGAGCGUAGGUGGAUUGUUAAGUCAGUUGUGAAAGUUUGCGGCUCAACCGUAAAAUUGCAGUUGAAACUGGCAGUCUUGAGUACAGUAGAGGUGGGCGGAAUUCGUGGUGUAGCGGUGAAAUGCUUAGAUAUCACGAAGAACUCCGAUUGCGAAGGCAGUUCACUGGACUGCAACUGACACUGAGGCUCGAAAGUGUGGGUAUCAAACAGGAUUAGAUACCCCAGUAGUC